rnacentral:lncRNA from 1 species
UUUCUGGAGAUUUAUCACGAUUUAAUUACGAUAGUGAUCAGUGUGAGGGGCAGCUCUUGAAGCUUGAGAAUUCCAGGGCAACGUCCUUGUCUGGAGAUGUUGGGACUCUUACAUCCAUUAGUCUUCACCUUCAGAGACUAAUAGAUUAUAUGAGUGUGUCGUGGUUUAUCUUGGCAUAAUAUCACCUAGUGGGCAGCUAGUGAAUGUUCUCUUUAUGUAUUUGGUGGAGGAAAGAACAUAUGGAUGCAUCUGUCUAUUGGUUGUCUGAUGAAUCUGUUUACCGAGAGAAUUCUUCUUCAAUUCAAGCCGAAAGUAACCCUAGGAAGAUCAGUGGCUCUGUGAUUUAUUUAUUAGCCAAAUUGUAAAACUCUCCACCUCAAUAUGCAGUGGUGUUUAACACGGAGGAUGACAUCGGCACCUAUACCAUCAAAGCUAUAGAUGAUCCAAGGACCUUGAACAAAAUUAUGUACAUCAGGCCUCCUGCCAACACCAUCUCAAUGAAUGAGCUCGUGUCUUUGUGGGAGAGAAAGAUUGGCAAGACUCUGGAGAGGGUGUAUGUUCCAGAGGAGGAGGUUCUGAAGAAUAUUCAAGGUUAGGGCUGCAUUUCUAUUGGAUUUAAGCGCGUAAAUUGUCUUUGUUCUCUCUAAGAUUUAAAGCUUGUCCGGUCAUUGUAGAGGCAGCGUUUCCGCAGAAUGUGAUAUUGGCAGUACUCCAUUCUGUUUUCGUGAAAGGAGACCAAGCCAACUUCGAGAUUAAGCCGUCAUUCGGAGUGGAAGCUUCGAAGCUCUACCCCGAUGUCAAGUACACGACUGUGGAUCAGUAUAUGGAUCAGUUUAUUUGAUUAUCGAACCCGAUUGUGUUUGUUAAAUUUCUCACAUAAGCUUGAAUCAUAAAUAAUAUAGGAUGCUGCUUCUCAGGAUCCUAGUGUGAAAUGUUGCAUGCCCUGAUCAUCACAUGGCAUGUACAACCCCAAAGUCUGAGGACAUCCUAUGAAGUGCUUAGAGAAAUUACUUAUGUUUUGGAGAUUGAUAUUGGGUUCAUGGGCCAAGCCAAGCUAGCACAAAGAUGUGGGUUUUUCUACUUUUGGCUAUUGUAUUGUCUUUCACGUCUAAAUAAUUCACGGACGACCACUAUCGUGAAAGUCAGAUACUUAACGUAUUACCAAGGAUGAAAUUUCCGUCAUGUGCUAAUUAUGUAUAAUCUUAAAGAAUGACAAGUUAAAACAAACGUAAACCCAUUAGCGAAUUCCUGACAAUAUCGAGUUAUCGUUAAUGUUUCAAGGGCUUUUAUUGUAUGAAUUUUCCUAAUGUGGGCUUUUCAUCGACACGUUUAUAGUUUUUUUUUUUUAGCUGAUCACUCACGAGAUAACUAGUCUAUCUGGUGAAGCUAUUGAGGGAUUUUAACGCAAUAGACUUGAGAAUUUGACCAAAUAUCGUCGCUCGACUGUGCUAUCUGCAAGGGUCACUAUGGCAUUGAAAAAAUUGACGAGAGACCAUAGAUAGGUCGGUUCAAUAGAGGUAUGUAAUUAGUGUGUGGUUGAUUUCAUCUUAUUACAAAAUUCUCGUCGAAAGGCACUAAACCGAUUUUUUUCUGUCAUUUCUAUACCCUGUGCGGGUAUUUGAAAUCUCGAGAUUUUCACGACAAUCGAGAGUUGCCAAUGAGUCGAAGAUGCCCAAUGUGGCUUGAAAAUAAGCGACCAUGAGUCAAUUGCACUAAAAAUUCCUAAAAGAUGCUCGGUAAGUUAGGUCACGCUAAAAUCGUGCUCGGUUGAAAUUAACCGUAUAGUUAAACCUGAUUUCAAAAAUUGAGAAUUCUGUCAUGUCAUGAUUCAUUUUGGAAACAUUGACUCAUCCUUUAAAGAUUUUUCUACAAACUCGAGAUUUCGGCAAAAUUUCAAAGUAAGGCUAUUUUGGACUGGGAAAAUUAGAGGGCCAUUUUUAGUCACAUUUUUGUCCAUCAAGUUGGUUCAAUUGAUGAGAAAAAAUCAUGAGAUGGACGAUGGCAUCUCGGCUGAAUUUAUGGCAACGGAAUUGAGCCCAAUUGAUGAGAACUUGAAUCAAUUUGGAGGGAAAUUGUCCAAAAUUCGUAGGUCCUUGGAGUGUGCAACAUUUGGACCCUUGGAUGGCUUGUUAGGGAAGCCUUAGGUGUGCAAUUGGUUGAGGAUUGAAGGCUAAAGUGGUGGGGGUCUUUGUGAUGAGCAAAUGGGGAUAUUUGUGUUGACUAGAAGGCUUGGUAGCCCCCCUCUUGCUGUAGCUGUCUUCUUCUUCUUCAUUGGAGUGCUUUAUCCAUUGUUGAGUGAGUUUUGAGAGCUCAAAAUUCCAGAGAGAACCGGAGAAGACUCCCGUACUAUCGAUCGUCUCCCCUGCCGUCGUCGUGCAUCGUUGCGCCGCCCGUGCCCCGCACGUCUGCGUGCCCGUCUGCCUGCGUCCUAGCCUUCUAGCUGCAUCCCGAGCUGCCUUGGUCACCGUCAUAGCCUCAUUGGAGCUCCACCGUCGCCGUCCAGCCACCAUCAAGCACCAUUGUCGCCUGCUGCAGCCUCCGCCUCCGCCUCUCAUCCCGUAUUUGUUGACACCUAAAUUUUGGCGACCCGUUUAGUUAUUUAUCAAAAAAUUAGGGAUUAAUUUUAACCCCUAAAAAAAUAUUAGUUAAUUAAUUAAUUGCACAGCAUAUAGUUUUAGGUGCAUUCAUUUUAAUUUGCAUUUACAUUGGGCCGGUGAUAAAUGGGUUCAAAUUGAUGGUUCAGAACUUUAAUUUGGUGAAUUGGAUUAAGCCCACGAAGGGAGUAAAUCGGCCCAAGCCUGUAUCCUCGGAAAUAUUUUACGGAUUUAUUUGUGCGAGAUUUCAAAUUUUAGAAGAAUCCUCUUGCAAUCCUAAAUCAUAUCAAAAGCAAAUAUUGCAUUUGGAAAAAGGAAUUUUUGUGGAUACGGAUUUGGAAAAAAUAAAACCUUAACUUGUGAACUAUAAAUAGAUAAAAUGCGUAGGGUUUGAGGAGGAGGCCACAUGUUGAAUACUCGGCCACAUUGACGGGGGCUUUUCUAGGGUUUCUUUUGGUCAACUGAAAAGAAAAGAAAAAAAGUGAAGGAAAGUGAAAAGUAAAAGCAGAAGCAGCAGAGGGGAGGAAGUGAUUGGACAUUGACUGUUCAUCGUCUUCCCCACAUUCGCUGCCCCGGUUGCCAGCUUCUCUUCACCCGUGCCCGCGCUGCGCUGACGCCAUCAAAUCGUAAGCCGCUCGAACUCCCUCGUCACCCAAUCCGUCGCGCCUCCGCAGCUAUGAGCACCACCGCAAUCGGCAUCUAGCGACCGCAUCUCAGACCGCCCCCGGCGCCACCUCACCGCGACACCACACCAGAUGGGCCCGCUUCUGAUCAAUGCCUGCACCUGAAGUUUCUCGGCCCGCGACGCCCUUCGCCGGUGGUCCGAGCUGCUGCCGCACGCAUCUGCUCUGCCCCCAAUCCGACCGUGAAUCUACCCAGCCCGGAGUCCAAUCUCGCGUUCGCAAGACUACCAUGAUGUGUCUCCGUGAUCCAGCCCUGAAGCCUGAUGCCAGAGCCAUUCCUACUUUGCUGUCGAACCUUCCGCCCAGACGCAGCAACACCGCCCUGCCUUCGCCUGUGGUCCGUUUUAGCCAGCCCUCCACCCGAGGGACCAUCCGAGCCGGACCUGAGGUCCUCUGCUCGCAACGCCCAGACCCGGAAUCCCCUGCCCGCGACGCCCUGUGCCGAAGUCCGAACGUUGGCAAUUCUGACCGCGACACCCAUGUUCCGCCUACUGUCCCUGCUAUCCGGGUGCUUCCCUAUUCCUGCCGGUUCACCCUUUUCAGAGCUUCCUUGUUGGACUGACAACCUAUUGCCUUGGAGACCUGCGAGCAAGCCGUGCUUGAAAAAGGGAAAAAAAAUCAGAUUAGGUAGUUUUUAUUUUAUUUUUUAAUAUUAUGUUUUAAUGGAAUUGUUCUUAAAUAUAGGAUUGAUAUUAUGACAUGAAUUAGCCCCUCAAAUAAGGGAUUGAUAGUCUGAUUUUCACGCCCGAGAUCCGACUCACAAUCCCUUGCAAAAUCGUCAAUCCGAUCUCACGCCCGAGAUUCGAUUCGCGAUUUAAUUUAAAAUUGGCCAACCCGAUCUUAUGCGCGAGAUAUGGUUCGUCAAUUUUUGGAUAUCAAUCUUUUCUUGUUUGAUUUGCCGUCAUGGUGUUUGGAUUAAUUUUAUUUUCGUAAAAGGAAAAAAUCCAAAAAAAAUCGAAUUAGGAUUAAGUUUAUUUUAGAAUGUUCCUAGUCUUAGGGUUAUCUUGCAUGUUUAGAAUUGCAAUCUCAUUUCGAAUUUUUAAAUAAAAAUCCAAAAAAUGCGUUCAUUUAGGAUGUUAGUUUUCUUUAAUUUAAAUGGCACGUUUGAUUAUUUGGCAAUUUUAAAUUUCGAAUUUUAUAAAAAGAAACAAAAAAAAAUCAUCAUGCAUAUAUCAUGUUGAAUUAGGGCAUUCUUUGCACGUCAUUGCAUGUUUAUCAAUUAUAGGUAGAUAAUCUCUCCUAGAUAAAUUGCAUGUUUUUGUUAGGAAAAUAAAAAUGCCCAUGUCAUAUAGAAUUAGAUUCAUGAAAUGCAUGUCAUUUAGUGAUUGUUCCUAGGUUCAUUUAAUUAGAAAUUGUCCAUCAUUAGAUUAGGUCAUAUAAUAAAUGUCAUAGCUCGCAUAUUAAAUUACAUGUUGCGUGUCAUUUUUGUUGAAAUAAUUUUAUACGUCGUUGCAUUGCAUUACACGUCAUUAGAAUUAAGUCAUUUUGGUUAAUUUAGAUUGCAUAUUUAAUUAUUGCAUGUUCAUUAAGAAAUCACAAAAAAAUUUAUUCAUUCAUAUAGUUUAGGACAUGUUGCCAUGCCAUAUCACAUUGCAUUGCAUAUGGAUUAUAAUCUCGUUAAAAAAGUGAAAACGAAAAUUGAGUGAUGACGUGUUAAUUAGAAAUCAUAUCUAGAGUUGUUGAUGUGAAUUCUGAUCCAACACUGUAGAUGUUUUCGUUGCUAUGAGUUAAGUCUUGCAAUUUAUUCAUUGCUUUUCUUGGAUGUUAAAUUGAUGGUUUGUGCACCCGCAUGAUCGCCUCAUAUGUUAGGAAAAUAGAUUUAAAAUCAAUUCAAGCUGCCUGCCAAACAUUUUUCGAAAUAAAAGAGAAAUGUACCGAAAGGGCGUUAGAAAAAUCUAGCAUAACUAAGUCCCCGAACUCAUAGUAAAGUAAAUCUCCCGUUACUUUGCUUGGGUUUCUAAUCGACCCACCAAAAAAUAGAUUAGUGGCGACUCCUAAUUGAAAAUCAAUUGCAUGUUAAGAAUUUGAACCUAAGUCGCGAAUUGGUAUGGGCUUGGGAAAGCCCGAGUUAAGUCUAGGCAUAACAAUCCAUUAGCCAAAUCUUAGGUGGCUCACACCUGAAAAUUUGGUCAUGACAGUGUUGUUUCAACCACUUAGCUUGCUCUCUCGGCCUAGAGCAGAAGCCAAAGCUCAGCCCCUAGCUGAGGCUUUGUGGCCCGUUUUAGGCCCCGUCUGAACCUUCGUUGGUAUUGCCACAUGCUUGUUUAUUACUCACCUCUGCGUCGCCAUCGCCGUGGACUCACCAGCCCGCUAAAUCGGUGAGUUUACUUGCUAAACUUUGCUUGGGGAAUUAAUGACGUUUAGUGGAUAAUUAGUUUAGGCUAAGUGUGGAUUAGGUGGUUAGUUAGUUUGGAUUAGUGAUUUAAUCAUUUAGUUAUGCAUGUUAUGUGGUUAGAAUAAACUAAUUAAGGGCUAGAUAGAUUGUACUAUCUAUCUAGAUAGAUUCGGAAAUUUUCUAGGCCCGUUUAGGUGGUUAGAUUAGCAUUUUUGGCCUAAGUUAGUAUUUAUGUAUUUAAUUUACUUUAUUUAAUUAUUUUUGGAAUUUAUUUAAUUAUUUUAUAUUUUUCGAAAAUUAUACCAUAAUAGUCGAUAAUCGGAAUUUUGUGUUGAUUGCAGUGGUAUGUUUAGUUUAUGCAAUUAAGUGUUAAUUUGUGCAAAUUGGGUGGUGAUUGGAAUUUUGAUUAUUUAAUCCAAAAUUGUGAAAUUUUGAUAUUUAAUUAGAAAACCCCAGGUGUCAGGUUUUAACACUGAAAGUGGUUUUAAAGACUAUAUCAAACAGUUGGAUUUUAAAAGGUAGGAUAUCAAUUUUUCUGGUUCAAAUUGAUCGUGUACCCGCACACAAUUAUUUUACCAUGUGUUUUUCAUACGAAGAAAAUGGGCCAAAUACAUUAUUUUAAUUUGGACAUUUGAAUGUAAAGCAUGAUGUCUUGGCUGAGAUUUGAUGGAUGCAUGAAUGGUUAUGAGAACCCGUCCCUGAAAUGAGUCGGAUGGACAUGCCCUUAUAUGGGAUGCUCUAGCAAUGGAUGGCGGAUCGCGGUAGAGGCCAGAUCAAAGCUCGUGCAUAGACUGCAUUUAGGUGUAUUUCCUUUCUAGUUGGAUUUUAGGGGGUGAACUUGCUAAGACAUUGUCUCGCCCCGUUAUGGGCUCAACCUUUUCAGGUCCUUAGAUGGUAGCUCCUCUAAAGCGUUUUGGCCAACCCAAGAGGGUCACCAAAUAGGUCUCUGAGAUUCUUCUUCCCGGGGGCUAAGGAGCUUGGGUCAAUGAGCUUGUGAGGACCAUUGUCUGGGUUAAUGCGGGUCUACCUCGAAUGGUAUCCCAUCAAUUCAGAACGUGGUAUCGUCACGGGUGAAAUGGACCUAGAGAAGGUCCUCUUUAGGAUUAUGAGAUCCUUGUGUCGAUGUUAGAAAUCGCUUUUGGCAAGGAUACAACCAACCCUCCUGGUGGUGCAGUCGUGGACCCAAAUUCCUAGGAGAGUUCGGGAUUUUCAGCUGCGGGUUCGAAUGCCUAGAGGACCUGUAGAUUUUAUGCUUUUAUAGACUUUUGUUUAUAAACUAGUAUUGUAAAUAAACUAGUCGACUGUGUAUAAAGGUGUGUUAUAGUUGUGAAAUCAUGGUCCUGCUUUUCUAUCCCAUCUUUGUGCUAUUUGGGGAUUUAUUUAUACACUUCCACACGCACAUUAAAAUGAAUGGGUCAGCGACGCGUCUUGGGACGUUGCAAUUUAAUCGACCACCGAGGGAUGGGCACACACUCGAGGAUCUAGGCGUGACAAAACUCACCGGUUUAGCGAUCCGGUGAGUCCACAACGAUGGCGACGCAGAGGCGGGCAACAAACAACCCUGCGGCAACACCAACCAAGGCCCGGAAGAGACCUAAAACCGGCCUUGAAGCAUCACAGCCCUUGCUAGCCUUCAGCUUUUGCUUUGGGCCAAGCAAGUUGAUACCAGCGGCUGAAACGGCAAGGCGGGCGGACGGGCGGCUGCAAUGGGCUAGGUGGAGGCAAACAGCAACUGGACAAUGACGGCGGGGCUUCGAUGGCAACCAGGGACGACUAUUGGAUGGCGAGGCGAUGCGAAUGCUAGUGGUUAGGCACGAUAGAGGCAUGAGCGAGCGAGACGUCAUGCGACAGGUUGGCAGACGUGAGCGGCGGGUGCGGUGGCUUGGGAGGCUAGUCAACGAAAAGGGGAGAGCUACUCUGCUUUCCUCUGGUUUUUGGAGCCCAAAAUGGACAACAAUGGUUAAAGGUGGCCCUAAGCUUGAAGAAGAAGCUGCUGAAGACUUGGAGGGUCCCCCUUGGCCACAAAUAUCCUCUUCUUGAUCAUUGGUUGCCCCCAUCAGCUUUGCCCUAUCCACAGCCAACUUUGCAGCAUCAAAACAUCCCCUAGAAGCUUCCUUUGAUGCCUCAAAUGUUGCACACCCCUUGGCCUAUGGAUUUUGUACACUUUCCAUCCAAAUUGAAUCAAUUCCCCUCUAAUUGAACUCAAUUUGACGUCUAUAAAUCCAACCAAGGUGUCCUUGUCAAAUACAACAUUUUUCCUCACCAACUGAACAAACUUGAAUCUCAAAAACGCGACAAAAAAUGGUCCUCUAAUUUUCCCAGACAAAAAAUGGUCAUACUUUGAAAUUUUGCCAAAAAUCCCGGUUUACCGAAAAGUCAUUAGAGGAUGAGUCGAUGUUUCUAAAAUAACGCGUGACAUGUUAGAACUUUCAAUUUCACAGUUAAUUUUAAUCUAGCGCAAUUUUAGCGUGACCUAAUCUACUGGGUAGCUUUUAGGAAUUUUUAGCGCACUUGACCCAUGGUUGAUUAUUUUCAAGUCACAAUGUACAUUUUCGACACAUUGGCAACUCUCGGUUGUCGUGAUAAUUUCAAGAUUUCAAAUGCCAACAUAGAGUACAAGUUUAACAGAAAUUUUGCAAUUAGGUAGAAUCACCCACGCACUAAUCAUAUAUCUCUGUUGAAUCAACCUUUCUCCAGUCUCUGAUCAAUUUUGAUAGUAUCGUAAUAACCCUUGCAGAUUAGCACGGUCGAGCAGUCGAUUCCUCGUUGAAUUCUCAAGUCUAUUACGUUAAAAUUCCUUAACAGUUUCACCUGAUAAAUUAAUUUUCCCGUGAGUAAUCAAUUCAGGGAAAAGAACUAUAGGCACGUCGAUGAAUAUCCCAACUCAUUUAAUCAAAGACAGAACCUGAAAUUCAGGAUGUCACAUAUUUUGUCGACAUAACAAUCAAUUUUCUAGGUCAAAUUCAGACAACUUUUGGUAUGUCAAGUUGUUGUUUCAAAACAAUUUACGCCAUCAGCCAAAUUCAACAAAAUCGAUAGAUAAGUACUUUACGUGUGCUCAUUCUCCACCGUGAAUUUCUUCCGUCUUUCGUGGUCACUUUUGUAUGUGCUCAUUUUCCGAGUGAGGGAUGCUGGGUGUGGGGAAAUCAAUUAUGCCCUUUCGGAACCAAAAUAAAAUGACGAUUCAUCUCGAUGCACGCCAAUAAGCAACAACAGUUGUAGCACAAGACCGAGCAACUUCUCUAGGAAAAACCACACCUCUGCCUUGAAAGAACCCUUUGAGAUGGCUGAAAAGAGCAAAGUGCUGGUGAUGGAAGGCAUUGGAUACAUUGGAAAGCUCAUUGUGGAGGUGAGUGCUGAGUCCGGUCACCCUACCUUCACUCUUGUGAGGGAGUCCGCUCUCUCCGAUCCUGCUAAGGUUGGCAUCGUAGAAGGUUUCAAGAGCUUGGGUGUCAAUAUAUUCUAGGUGAGUAAUUAUUCACGUGCGGUUGUGUUCCUUCGCCAUUCUGAGAAAUGUUUUUAUCAAUAGGAUCGAAGUUGAUUUUUAUAUUUAUCUCUCACUUGAUGAGUUGAUGGAGUCACAUUACGAUAUGGCGUUGCUCUUUCUCUUCUUUGAUAUUUUGUCUGUGUGCAUGGUUGGAAUCAGAAAUCAUGUCCCUCUUCUUUUUAAAAUGCUUGAUGAGAUCUCAACUUUGGAUGAUGAUAUGAACGUGCACAUUUUCAGAUAAAAUCUUGUGGAAACUUUGGUAUGCUUUGGCUAUUUAUGAGGCAGCUAUAGCUAUGUGGCUGCACUUUGCUGCAUAGACAAAUCUUGUGGAUGAUUGCCAACUUCAUUGAUCGUUUGUCCAUGCUAUUUGUUAUUUGAUUCUCAGGGAGACAUAUACAGUCAAGAGAAUCUGUUGAUUGCAAUUAAGCACGUUGAUGUGGUAAUCUUUGUUGUGGGAUGAGCACAAGUGAAGGACCAAGACAGGAUUGUAGCUGCCAUUACAGCAGCUGGGAAUAUCAAGGUGGUGCCAUGCCUAGUCAUUUCAUUUCAAGUUACUAUUGUUGGUUUAGCAUUUUGUUGACACCUAAAUUUUGACAUCCUCGUCAUCUAUUUAUUGCAUAGAAUAAUUAGGAUUAAUUUUUAACACCUAAAAAAAAUCAAGUUGUGUAGCAUAGAGUUUUAAGAGCAUUGUUAUUAUUGCAUUUGUAUUAGACUGGUAACGAAUGGGGGUUUGAACCAAUAGUUCCGAACUUUAAUUUAACAAAUUGGACUAAGCCCAUGAAGAAAGGGAAUUGGCCGAAGCCCGUUAUUCUCUGAUGACCAAUGUUGACACCUAAUUUUUAUUUUUAUUUUCAAGCACACAAAAAAAAAAAACAAACAAAACCAAAAAAAAAAACAAACAAACAAAAGUUGAUACAAAAAAAAAGAAGAAGGGCCGCGGGGGUCGGGUCGGGCCGAUCCAGCCUCGGCUCGACCUAUCCCUUUUCCUUUUCUUUCCCCCCACGUGGGCCUUGGGCCCAACUCCUCCCUUUUUCCUUUUUCUUUUUCCUUUUUGCACGGCGCGGCCCGUGCUCAUUUGUCUUCUCCUCUAGCCGUUUCUCGCGCGGGGAAGCAGUGAAGGAGAAAGCAAUCGCCAGAGCAAAAGGGAGGGCGUGCAGGGGACAUCAAAUCCACGUGGGGGGCAACGCGAUCCGUAGGCGAGCAAGCCAGCAAAGAGCGGGGUUGGUCAAGCGAAGCCACGCAAGCAAGUUGGGUGGAAAGGAGAAAAGAAAAGGGCAGAACAGGGGGGAGAAAAGGAAAAUCAAAGAAAAAAGGGGAAAAAACAGGGAAACACCGAGUGGAGGAGAGGAGUAAGAGAGACCCCGGAGCCAUUGAUCACUACCAUUGGUCACCGCCAGAGUUGCCAACCGCCUCCGACUCUGCUGGAGUCUAGGAAGCAGAACAGAGGUGCGAAGCAGAGGGCGACAGGAGGGAGAGAGAGGAGAGAGUGGGAAAGCCGUGGGAGAUCAGCCAAGAAGUAGGGAGCCCCCAGGACGCCUCGCCACUACUGGAGAGCCGCCUGUUCGUCGCCGUCCACUACCAUAUUUCGCGGAAUCCAGGUUGGCCUUUUAUCGAACACUUGACGUGCGAUUUUUUAUAUUGAGUUGGCCGGAGCUCGUUUCGCCUGUUUCAAGCGAGCUCCAGCCCCUUUGUCUGUCCCUGUUAUUUUCCUUAAAUGUCGGUAGGUCUCCUUAGGUCUUCAGGUCCGCGCUCAUGCUUCGGCCGAGCUGGAGGCUCUUGGUCUCGUCCAUGCACUCCACCUGCUCGCCAAAAUACCCAAUCGGGAGUUGUUUUUUGUUUCCUUUAGUUGGAGAUCUAGCUCGACCAUUAGGCUGCUGGAAGGGAUGCUAUUGUCUAGCCGGAGGACGAGCAUCGUCCCCUGCCCUAGCCGGCACCGCCGUGCCCAGGCCGGAGAACCGCCCGAGCACGACGACAUCUCCCCCUGGUCGCAACUGGAAGUCGACCGACCAAAGGGAGGUCAACCAAGCGGGCUAGAUCUUGGCCCGCUCAGCCCUUCUCGCCCCGUAGGCCGAUGGCCUAGACUUGGUCUAGGUCGUGGGCCUGCUAGGAGCUCCUUUUGCGAAAGGGGUUGGGCCCAUUCGACGGGCCCAACUUGCACUUAAUUGCAAGCCCGACCAUUGGUCGGGCUUGUUCUUUUCCAAGUGGGCCAACGGCCCUAUGGUCAGGCUUGCUCUUUUCCAAGCGGGCCAACGGCCCGCCCCUCCCCAAUAGGACCGAACCCGAGUCCGGUCUCCAACGGGACUUGAACUGCACCGACCGACCCGAACUAGGGUCGGGUCAGACUGGACCCAACCCGGUUCACCCAAAAAAAAAAUUAAAAUAUUUAAAUAUUUAAAAAAAUUAUUUUAAAAAAAUUAAAAAAUUUAGAAAAAAUUCGAAAAUCAUAAAAAAGUAGGAUUUGGUUAGGAAAUGCCAUAUAUUGCCUUCUUAACCUAACUAGGCCUUUAUUUGCUCAUAUUUUGAUUAUAUCGCAUGUUUAGUUUGCAUAUUUUGUUUAUUAAUUGCACGUACUUAAUUUUAUGGCAAUUCGGAUCUUGGUAGCUAUGGUUGUUAUUUUAAUGAUUGUGCACCUGCAUGAUCACCUCAUAUGUUAGUGGAUAUGUAUAAAAUCAACCCAAACUGCCUGACAACAAAUAUCUUCUUUUAAAAUGAACAAGAUUAGGUACCGAAAGGGCACUAAUUGGUCAAUUAGUGUAAUCAAGUCCCCGACCCUAAAUUCUCUGGUUGUGUAGGAAGUGUGGCACACUCCCAUACCUCACUUGGUUUCUAGCCGACCCCAAUAAACUAGUGGUGAUUCAUUUUUGUGAAAAUCUUUAAAAAUAUCCCAAUGUCAAUCGAUGUAUGGGCUUGGGAGAGCUCGUGCCUAAUCAUGGAACUUAAGUCCGUCCUUUAUGCAAUACCCCUAAACCUGUUCUCUCCCCCCGAGGGGUAGGUCGCGACAACCAAAAAUUGGCUUAUGAUGAAUGGUGAUUUGAUAUUUUCGGUGAUAUGGAGUUGGAUUUUUUGUAUAUUCAUGCAAUCCAUUCAUAUAUCCUUAGUAAGGGUAAACGUGGGAAGGAAAUAUUGUGAUCACAUCUUUGCAAGGUUCAAAAUCUAGGAAAACUCUAUUAUGAUCUUGAAUUUUUGGCAAUGCUUGAUCAAUAAGUGGGCUAGUAUUUGGGUUAAAGAAAUAAAAUUAGUGGAGAAUAUUCAUCUUGCAUGGUCCAAUGUGGAAAGAUACGAUCAUAUGCACAAAGGAAAUUCGGAACAUAAAAGAUUAGCACCAGAAGGGAAUGUCGGGCUCGUUCUUCAUUGAAAGCGCAAGGAUUUGCAAAGAAAAGAUAUAUGCCUACAGAGAAGGCAUUCAAUCAAUGAGGAAGAGGAAAGGAAAUAGAAUAUAUUUUAAAGCAUGAACAGAAGGAAGCAAACUAUGCUUUAUUUCCUUGAUGGUUUACACCCUUUCACUAUAAAUGGACUCAUUACAGGACAGAGAGGGGGGCCACACAAUUGAGAAUACAGAGAGAGAGAGAGAGAGAGAGAGAGAGAGAGAGAGAGAGAGAGAGAGACCUCCUGCCACACCUACUUGAUGAAUGAUCUCGUGUCUUUGUGGGAGAGAAAGAUUGGCAAGACCCUAGAGAAUGUUUAUAUUCCAGAGGAGCAAAUUCUGAAGAAAAUUUGAGGUCACAGAUGCAUUAAUAUUAGAUUUCAGCAUGUGGAAAUUGUCUAUAUUCUCUAUCAUAUUCAAACCUUUUGAUGUCCAUCGAUCUACUUGUCCACUCAUAUUAUAGAUGUGAAAUCUCCAGAUGAUCUGAUGUGGGCCAUAUACCAUUCUAUUUUUGUGAAAGGAGACCAAACUAACUUUCAAAUUGAGCCGUCAUUCGGAGUGGAAGCUUUGGAACUCUACCCCAAUGUCAAAUUCAGUACCAUGGAUAAGUACCUUGAUUAGUUUGUUUGAUUGUCGAAACUUACUGUGCUUGAGGAUUUGAUUUCUCACAUCAGCUUGGAAUCAGAAAUGGUAAUAGAAUUCUGCUUCUUACGAACCUAGUGUGAAACGUCGCUCCCAUUGAUCAUCUCAUGGCAUUGUACAACCUCCAGCUAUUAAGACCUACUAUGGGUGCGUUUGGGACUUACUUUGCAAAUGGGCUUUGGCCACUUAAAGGCCUUUUGGCCAAAUAUUAAGUGUUUGGGAAAGGUUUUACAAACCCCAUUUGGGGAAGGCUGGCUUUCUAAAGGCUGGAAGCCCAAGGCUAGUCUGGGGGUGCCUUGAGCUUUCAAGCUUCAGGAAAGGCUUACGAGACACUAUUCAUCAAAUUUGCGAAACACUAUGCAUCUUCUUCAUUGAGGUGGACAUUCAGGUUGAGCAGGGUCAUGAAUGGCCGAUGACGAAGUAGAGAGAGGCUGGUGACGAUCACAACCACCCAAGUGACGGUCGUCGGUGGGUCGGGUGAUUUGGUCACGCGACUCUUGCUGAGACCCUUGCCUGAGGUCAUUGGGGUCGCGCGACCCCCGGCACAGUGGCCCUCGCCAAAGGUCUCGCUUGGGUCUCGCGACCCCCGGUGAGAUCGUCGCCUAAGGUCGCGCACCAAGCAGCCCUUGGGCCACACAACCUCAAGCAAGGGUCUCGCCGGAGGUCACGAGACCCAAGCAAGACCUUUGGCAAGGGCGGUUGCGCCGGGGGUUGCGGAACCCCAACCGAGACAUUGCCGAGGUCGUCGGCACAGGCGAGCUCGCCAAGGCCGCACGACCUCAAGCAAGGGUCUCGCCUAUGGGUGGCGACCUCGACGAGGGUCUCGGCCGGCAUUGCGCGACCCUUGCCAGGGGUCGCUCGACCGCAGGUGACCCUCACCAAGGCCACGCGAUCUCAGGCGAGGGUCUCGCCUGGGUCACCGGCAAUCGCCCGACCCCAGGCGGCCCUCGCCGAUGGUCUCUGAGGGCCGCCUAAGGUCCGACAACCUCAAACGAUGGCCGCCGUGGCACUUAAAGUCCUUUACAUUUUCCCAAGGAAUUUUCGCAAAAAUCUAAUCAAACACACCCUAUGAAUACUGAGUGUGUGCUCAUCUGUGCUGUGUGCUUGGAGAAGUCACUUAUGUUUUGGAGUUGUUUUGGGUUUAACGACUAGCUAAUGAAUAAAAAAAGGAAAAGGGUUUAUGGUGUCAUGCCAAAAGCCUUUUGGGUAAAACCUAAUUGACUUCUCAACCCUAGAAGACUUAAUUAGACAAAUUGAAAGUACAAGGAAUUAAUUAGAACAGGGGUGAAAAGUAUGAAUCUUCCUUUUUCAUUCACGUAGUAGAGCAUAGUUGAUACUCACUUUUCUGAAAUCAAGUACUUUGUCGGUACUUUGUCGGUCUUGGAAGAUCUCCUCAGAAUCUAAACUCGAGGUUUACAUAGUAGAUUUUUUUUAUAGAAGUCGGUAAGGAUGAUAUUUCUAUCACCAAUUGUUGAAGGGUAAGCUUAAAGAAUAGCAAGUUAAAACCCAUUGAUAAUACCUUGCGGUGUUGGAUUAUCCUUAAUAUUUCGAGGACUGUUAUGGGCAUGGAACAAGCAAGAAGAAAGAGAGGCAUGUGUCACGGUCUGUGAAUCCUCCCAUACUCAUGACACUUGUGAAUGGUGCUUGGGGUUAUCGAGUGAAGAGUGAGGAGGCAGAAGGGACGAACACAACUGGUUCGUGGGAGUGGCGUUAGGACGGUUGGUGCUGGGAGUUCUAGGAUAGAAAGAUUAUAUCACUUAGGAGCUCUGAAGGCAAGGAUAGCCUCCCGUGCACAAAUUGGUGGGGAGCUGAUGCCGCUCUCCUGACGAGGCCAUGGCAGGCCGAAACCAGUUAUUGAAGCUAAAGAGAUCUACUGUCUCACUUGAUGGACUAGAUACUCGAGCGAAGUUGAGCAUGGUAGGAUCUCGCACGAAGAAGCAUUCAUCGUAUAGUUCAUGGAACAGCUAAAGAAGAAAGGCUGGCCUGGUGAAUUCUGUUCGUCAGGCACCGCACGGGUCGUUCCGAGGCCAAGGAAACUCUCGGCCUGUGACAAGUGGUAUCAGAUCAAGAAUCCCUCUAGUAAGUUAGCAAGUCGGAGAAUUGAACUUCUCGCUUUAGUGCAGGUCGAACUGAUAAGUGCCCGGUCCGGUCCUAGUGAAUGAAGAGUGAAUGGAUGGGGCAAAAGAUGCUCAAACGAAGCUGGGCUCUCUAUUCCUAGGAUGGCAUUGGUACUAGGACAAGUCAAUUCCUUGCCAAGCUGAUAGGGAGUUGGAGAAGAACCGAACCCUUACUGAAUAGGGAUAACGUUCCUGGAUCGAUCGAUGAAUUCAAAGAAGAUGUCUACUGCCACGUUUUCAACAAGGAAAGAACCUCCAUUUGGUCUGCUUGGGUCAAAGAAGCUAUGUAGGCAAAAUGGUGCUGCCAAAAGAAAUGCCACACUCUCCAAAGAAAACGCAAGUGACCGAGAAAAGCCAAGUGGUUGAGAUCAAAAAAAGGCUAUCAAUGGAGCAAAACCUAUUUUGUUGGGCGAGCGUGACCAUUCGAUGUGAAAUCCCAAAAAGUGGCACAUCAAUGGUUAAGGGACACAAGGAAGCGACAGAGCAGAUUGCAACGAGGGCGUUGCAAAUUGAAUGGGGGAGAAUGUCACGGUUCGUGAAUCCUCCCGUACUCGUGACAUUUGUGAGUGGUGCUUGGGGUUAUCGAGUGAAGAGUGAGGAGGCAGAAGGGAAGAACACAACUGGUCCGUGGGAGUGGCGUCAGGACGGUUGAUGCUAGGAGUUCUAGGAUAGAAGGAUUAUAUCACUUAGGAGCUCUGAAGGCGGGGUUGGCCUCCCGUGCACAAACUGGUCAGGAGCUAAUGCCGCUCUCCUGACGAGACCAUGGCAGGUCGAAACUAGUUGUUGAACCUAAAGAGAUCUGUUAUCUCACUCGAUAGACUAAACACUUGAGCAAAGCUGGGCGUAAUAGGAUCUCGCACGAAGAAGCAUUCAUUGUAUUGUUCGUGGAACUGUUAAAGAAGAAAGGCUGGCUUGGCGAUUCCAUUCAUUAGGUGCCAAACGAGUCGUUUCGAGGCCAAGGAAACUCUUGGCCCAUGAUAAGUGGUAUCAGAGCAAGAAUCCCUCCAGUAAGUGAGCAAGUCGGAGAAUCGAACUUCUCGCUUUAGUGCGGGUCGAACUGAUAAGUGCCCGGUCCGAUCCUAGUGAACGGAGAGUGAAUGGCCGAGGCAAAAGAUACUCAAACGAAGCUGAGCUCUCUGUUCCUAGGAUGGCAUUGGUACUGGGACAAGUCGGUUCCUUGCCGAGCUGAUAGGGAGUUGGAGAAGAACUGAACCCUUACUGAAUAGGGAUAACGUUCCUAGAUCGAUUGGUGAAUUCGAAGAAGAGGUCUACUGCCACGUUUUUAACAAGGAAAGAACCUCUAUUUGGUCUACUGGGGUCAAAGAAGUUGUGUAGGCAAAAUGGUGCUGCCAAAAAGAUGCAAUUAACGAACAAUGUCAAACUUGCCAAAGAAAGCGCAGGUGACCGAGAAGAGCCGAGCGGCUAAAAUCAAAAAGAUGCUACCGAUGGAGCAAAACCUGUUUUGUUGAGCGAGCGUGACCAUUCGAUGUAAAAUCUCAAAACGUGGCACAUCAAUGGUUAAGGGACGCAAGGAAGCGACAGAGCAGAUCGCAACGAGGGCGUUGCGAAUUGAGUGGGGGAGAAUGUUACGGUCCGUGAAUCCUCCCGUACUCAUGACACUUGUGAGUGGUGCUUAGGGUUAUCGAGUGAAGAGUGAGGAGGCAGAAGAACGAACACAACUGGUUCGUGGGAGUGGCGUCAGGACGAUUGGUGCUAGGAGUUCUAGGAUAGAAUGAUUAUAUCACUUAGGAGCUCUGAAGGUGGGGUUGGCCUCUCAUGCACAAACUGGUCAGGAGCUGAUGCCACUCUCCUGAGGAGGCCAUGGCAGACCGAAACCAGUUGUUGAAUCUAAAGAGAUCUGCUGUCUCACUUAAUGGACUAGAUGCCCGAGCAAAGCUGAGCGUGGUAGGAUCUCACACGAAGAAGCAUUCACUGUAUUGUUCAUGGAACAGCUAAAGAAGAAAGGUCGGCCUAGCGAAUUUCGUUCAUCAGGCGUCGCACGGGUCGUUCCGAGGCCAAGGAAACUCUCAGCCCGUGACACAUGCAUGAUGAAUCUGGACACCUCACAAACCAAUUUCUUCACUAAUCAUGGUGGGCGCAGACUCGUGUCCUUUCCUAAUUAAGAAAGUCCAAUAAGGCGAUGUCUACGUAAUACUGUGUUUACUUUACAAAUUACGUAAAUUGCAAUUUCACAUUUCAUAUGAAUGAUCUAAGUAUAAAAUCUUUUCCAUUUAAUGAUAAAGAAACUAUCUUACUACGUGCUUAAUAUGUGUGUAUUGAACUCACUCUUUAGAACCGGAAUCAAUCUAAAAGUCUCGGUUUCCUUUUCUUAAGAACUUGUGAAUUUGAAAAUAUAGAAAUCUUAUGUUGCCCAAAAAAUCAAAAAGAGUAAUCUCUUGAUCAACCCCACUUUGGAAAGAAUCUAGUGCACCUCAAAACAAUCAUUUACCGAUAUGAAACGUUGUGAUAGCAUGCAUACCAUGCAAGCACAUGCACGUUGGAUAGCUCAUUGCCCUUUCAUAUUGUUUUCACUAGUCUUUUCAUAUGAUACAAAAAAAUAGUCUCAACUUUUAUUUACAUGAAAAAUCAUUAUAAGUUAUAAUAGUCUAAUAUUGAUUGAGAAACAAAAUCAUCAUACAAAAUAAAUUAGAAACUCUAAUCCUUCAAAAUUAAGAUUACUUAAAUCUUUAGCACCAUCCAAACUUAAGUGUAGAUUUUCUUAUUUUUAGUAAGUUUUUCACAAUAAUUUGAAUCAUCUCUCAAACUCGACAAAAUCUUUAUUGAAGUGCUUUAUAUUAGAUUUUAUUCUGUUUCUAUUAGUCCCCUUCGCACGUACAUCUUUUCCAGCUAAUGAUGAUAUCAAGAAGUUCACACAAACGACAUCUAUGCCUUUCUGAAAUAAAAAACAGAUGAACGAUUCAUCUCGGAUCCCGCCAACAUUUACGGCCCUAGACCGAGCAAGUUCGCAGGGAAAACCACACUGCUGGCAGAAAGAACGGGAAAAGUGUUAAAAAAAAAAGUCAAACAUUUUGCAUUUAUGCCAAUUUAAUUUUAAACAUUUUUUUGAUGCCAAUUAAAUCUUAAAUAUUUUUACGUUGUGCAAAUUUAGUAUUUUCCGGCCAAUUUCAGCCAGAUUUUACUAACUGAACAACGGCCGACUGACAUGAACAACUUUUAAUAAUAUUUUAAUAUUCUUUCUUUUCUUUUUUUCUUUUUUCCUUUUCCUCCUUCUUUUCUAGCCGGUCGCUGGCUCGAUGACCAGCUAGAGGCGACGGCCGACGAGGUCAACCUCGACCUCGCCGGCCACCUCGCUAGUGGCCGCAAGGGCGGCCUCAUGCUGAGCAGUGAGGCUCGCCCUUGCCAAAUCCGACAAGGGUCGAGCCCCACCCGCCCAGCGCAAGGCUGCCCUCGAGGCCUGGGCGACGAGCCUCACCUUCGUCAGAUCUGGCAAGGCUCACCCUCGUCGGAUCUAGCGAGGGUCGAGCCUCGCCCAUGGCUAGCAAGGACGAGCCCCGCCAACUCGACGCGAGGCUAGCUCGAGGCCACCCAGGCCAUGAGGGCGAGCCCUCACCGCCCAAGCCUUGAGAGUGGCCUCGCACUGGACAGGCGAGGCUCGCCCUCGCUGGAUCUGGCGAGGUCAAGUCUCGCUAGCCAUUGGCGAGGCUCAACCCUUGCUAGCGCAAGGCUUCCCUCGCGGCCGCCGGUGAGGUCGACCUCAACCUCGCCGGCCAUCGCCUCUGGCUGAUCGUCGAGGUCCGGCAACCGACUAAAGGACGAAGGAGGAGAAGGAAAAAUUAAAAAUUAAAAUAUUAUUAAAAUAUUAUUAAAAAUUGUCAACGUCAACGUUGAUUAGGCCACAUCAGCCGGCCGGCGUCUAAUCAGCAAAAUCUAGCCAAAAUUUACCGGAAAUGACUAAAUUGGUACAACGUAAAAAUGUUUAUGACUUAAUUGGCACCAAAAAAAAGUUUAGGACUUUUUUAACAUUUUUUUCCGAAAAGAAACUUAGGUGGCCACGAAGAACAAAGUCAUGAUGAUCGGAGGCAUUGCAUGCCUCGAAAGUACAUAGUUGAAGCGAGUGCUAAGUCCGGUCGCCUUACCUUUGCUCUCGUGAGGGAGCCUGGUCUCUCCGAUCCCACCAAGGUCAACAUCGCCCAAGGUUUCAAGAGCUUAGGCGUCAAAUUUUUCAUGUGUGUAUCGUGUUGUGAGGAGUCACUACGGUGCAAUUAUGUUCGUUUCCGACAUCAACUUGAACCAUAAGUUAUAUAGGAUUCUGAUUCUCCGCAUCCCGCUAAUCAUCUCAUGGCACGUGCAACUUUCAAUACGAGGACAUAGUAGGAACAUUUGAUGUGCGAGGCUUCUUUGCAACGCUUGGAGGAGUUACUUCUAUUUUGAAUUUGAUAUGAGUUUUUCUAUUUCUGUAUAGUAUACGUUUUAUGUCGUCGGUGUGGGUAUUGAAUUCGAGCCGCUGAUGAUGUACGAUAAUUCACCUAAUUUCCUGGUCUUAGACUAAAAUAUAAUUUUAUUUUAAGAGUCAUUUGUUUCGCAAAAAAUAAAUAAUUUGGAAGAAAAAAUAUCUCAAAAAUGAUUAUUUGUAUCGCUUAUAAAAUGAACGGACAAAAAAUAUUUCCAUCGUCUAUAAAAAUAUUUAGACAUAUUUUGUUGUUGAUAAUAACAACAUUUUUCAUCGACUAAUCAUUUAAAAUAUGCAAGUAAUCAUUUUUUAGAAAAAUGUUUUUUAAAUUAUUUAUUUUUUACGAAACAAAUACUUUAUAUAUCUAAAUACUUUAUUCAUUUUUCAUGUCUAAAUAGUCUGUAGGUAGUCAUUAUGGUGAAAUCAAAUACUUUAUAAAUCCUCGAAAAUCUGAAGGUAAUUGAAGCUCCGGGUUUCCUUAGCUGACGAAAUCUCCUUUCAUGAAUGAUAAACUUAAAAGAAUAACAAGUUUAAGGAUUCUUACUGCGGGGAACAAACAAGGCAAAGAAAAAAAGGCAAAUAUUCGAUUGAAUAUGGUACCAUAACAAUUAUCUACGUGAGGUCAAGUAAUAAUCUUGUUGAUCCAUUGAUGAAGGCUUUAUCAAGACAUAUGGUAAUAAUGACCUCACAAGAAAUAGGGCUGAAACCCUUUAAUUGAAAUCAUCAAUAAUGGUAAUCCGACAUUUUUUCUAAAACAUCACUAGUUACAAGGUUUAAUGGGUAAGAACAAGUUAUUAAAUGUGAUUAUUUGAUACUGACGUAACCCUAAAAAGUCAGUAUCGUCUAUUACGUUUUGUAGGUUAAAUUGAAUUCUUAAUGAAGUAUAAUACAAAUUUAUAAUGUGUUAAUAGUAAUAGAAACACAUGAUAGAUACUUCACCUAUAUGAGCUUAGAAGUGAUGCCGCUUCUUACGAAAGUGAGGGUUGCUUUCUAGAGAGCUCAUGAAACAGGAUCAAGCACAAGGCUAUAAUAGUGCAGAGUAAUAUAGAACUUCUUGCUAAAACAAGAGGUUAGUGUAUGUACAGUAUGUCCGAUUCUAUUACAUAAAAGUACAAAUUUAAAGCCGAGCUAUUUGUCACUUUGAUAGAGCUUUGAUAUACUUGCACUAAGUAAAAGUUUAAUUCGAAAGAGACCUUUAUAUAUGUAUAUUAUUCUUACUGAAAUUUUGGUUGUACGGUUUUAAAAUUUUAAUUUUGAAAUCUUUGUUUUACAAACAAAAUGGGGGAUUGUUGGAGGUUUGUUUGUAAAAAUAAACUAAGUGCAUUUUCCUUGUCUCACCUAGGAAAAGUGGGAAGAAGUGGGCCAAUUAAUAAGUGUGGGGUUUCCUUUGUGUACCUAAAGGAAUGAUUAGGUGGGGCUAGACCCCACCAUAUCCGUGUGCGAGUGCGCAAUUUAUUUGGCGCACUUUGCGCGCCCGCGGUUUAAUUAACACUAACCCCUUUGUUAUUUUAUUUUUUCUUUCAUACGGUUAUCUUAUUAACUUUAAUCAAUUCAAAUGUUGCUUUUUAGUUUUGAGAAUUUUCGAAAAUUAUUAAAAAAUAAAAAUUCGAAAUUGUAUUUAUUUUAAAAAAAUUAUUAUUUCGAAUUUUUAUUUGUGUCUUUUCAAGAUAACCUUUGAAAAAGAUAUUUGUUCAAUUUGCAACUUUUCCCGAAGGGUUGCAAUUGUUCAUUUUUUAACUUCUUCCAAAUGGACACCUUUGUUUAUCUAGACAAUUUUUGAAAUGCCUUGUUUGUUCAUUUUUUUUGCAAUUUUUCACGAAGAGUUGCAUGUGUUUUAAGAGUGUUUUAUAUAUAUAUACAUGUCAGUUUUCGGAAAAAUGAAAGUGAUCAUUGUUUAUCUUUUCGAGCAUUCUUUCUGAAAACUACAGCCAUCAUUUUAAUUAUUUCCUGGAGAGGCCAUGGAGAAAUACUAGAAUUGUUAUCUAAUAUUCUUAUUUUGAGACUUUGUUGUAUCUUGAAUGAUAUUUGCCGGUAACUAUUAGCAAUGUUAUGGGGCAAAUAACUCCUUAAAGAAAAUGAUAUUACAUCUCAAAGUCCGACUUGAGUAUUCUAAAGAUCCAUCUUCAUUGUUUUACCCAAUUCGAAGCCAUAUUUUCCCAACAUGAACAACUCUCGAACCAGACUUGCAGAUGCUGGUCUGACUCGAUGAAUCCUUCCGUAAUUUGCUUACUGCCUACCAUCCGCGUGGACUCUUGUGUCCUUUUCUUUUCAAGAAAUCUACGGUGUGGUGGCUUUUAGUGUGGAUAUCUUCCUUUUUGUGAAUGAUUUUUCGUAAAUUCAUCCAUUUACGGUAGCUAAGCAUGUGAAAUUAUGAAAAGCAAAUUUCAGGAAACCCUUUUUAGCAAAACAAGCACUCAAAGGUCACCAAAAAAAAAAAAACAAGCACUCAAAUGAUAUGCAUUUUCAAUUUCGAAUUGGUGAUCUAAACAUUGAAUCUUUUGCAUUUAAUGAUAAAGAGUAUCAUUUAUAUAUGUCUAAUUUACUAGCAUCAUGCUCCCUAUUCAAUCAAUGAGCCAAUCUAACAAGGUUAGUCUCCUUCAAGAAGUUAUGAAUUGUUUACAAGAUAAUGUUUUGUUGGCCAAAAAGUUAAAAAAUUAAUUAAUAUGGUUGAACCUAGAGGAAAAAAGAAAUGGCACCUCAAAACAAUCAUAGAGCGACUAUGAAGCUCCGUGAUAUCAUGUAUAUAUGUGCAUCUGCAUGUCCAAUAGCUCAUUGUCCUCUCAUACCAUUUUAUCUUAUUAUUUCAUAUGAUAAAGUAAACCUAAAAAAUGGUUUCAACUUCCUUUUUAUCAAUGACAUAAAAAAUCAUGGUAAAUUAUAAUAGUACAAUAUCAAUUGAGAAAACAAAAUAUAGUUUCAAUUAAACAGUAUUUCUAACACUUCAAAAUUAGGAUUACUUAAAUUUCUAACACCAUCCAAACUUAAAUUUGGAAUUUCUUAAUCUAGGCAAGUUAAGUUUUUCUCAUUUCACAAAAAAAUGAAUCAUCUCUCAAAUUAGACAACAUCAUUAUUAGAAUACUUUAUAUUUUAUUUUCCUCCAUUUCUUUUUUCAGGACUAAUACCAUAAAAAUAAAAAAUAAAAAUAAAAACUCAAACUAGUACGUCCAUAUUAUAUUUACCAAAAAUUAAUUUUUAUAUCACAAAAAAAUUUAUAUUGUUUUAUUCAUGUCACAUUUGUCCAAAAUUUGCAGUAAUUUUUUACAUUGAAAAUUAGUUCGGGAUGACAUUUGUAUUCAGCCGGAGAAUAUUUUAGGUAAAAAAGUUAAUUUAGGAUAAAUGUGACGGAGAAUUAAUUUCAUGCACUUUUUUCUGGUGAAGGAUCAGAUUGAGAAGUCAAUACGCUGGAAGGACAAUUCAUUGAAAAGACAAUUACGCCCUUCUGGAACCAAAAGAUAAUUUUAAAUUGGCUCCGUGUAGAAGAGCCCCCGGCAUUUUUGCGCGCUCUCUCCCUUUCUCGCAGACACAGUUGGAGCACUACGGAGACCGACCGAGCUCGCCGGAGAAAAUCCACCGACUCCGCCGUGAAAAACCCCUCCGAGAUGGCGGAGAAGAGCAAAGUCCUGGUGAUCGGAGUCACCGGACUCAUCGGAAAGUUCGUCGUGGAAGCGAGUGCUAAGUCCGGCCACCCUACCUUCGCUUUCGUGGAACCGCUGUCCACUCCGUCCGACGCUGCCAAGACCAACUUCGUCCAAGGUUUCAGGAGAUUAGGCGUCUACGUAGUUCUGGUGAGUAGCUAGCUAUGCCCGUGCGAUCGCGUUCGUUUCCGACAUCGGGUUCCGCUUCGAGGAACCGAAAGCGUCACCUGCCGUUGAAUCUUGUUCGUCGUUCCGAGAAACGUCUUCGGCAGUAGAAUCGGAGCUGACUUUCGUCUCCAUCUCUCACUCGAUCGAGCUGAUUGGAAUCACGUUGCGAUUCGGCGUUGUUCAUUGUCUUUUCUGAUAUUUUGUCCUCGUAUGUUGGCGAAAUAGGCGAAAUUUUUUAUGACGUCCUUCUCACUUUCUCACUGCCUGACGAUUCAUCUCAGCUUCGCGUGUUGAUUCGAACGCGCGCAUUUUCAGACAAAUCUUACAGAAACUUCCUUAUGCCUUCGCUGUUUAUGAGACAGCUACAGCUACGUAGUAACUGCACUGACCUGUUGUUCAGAUGCCACGGAGGAGAAGUCUGUGGAUAGUAGCAUUUUUUUUUUUUAUCAUAUUUUUCUUUAUUGCCUGAUAAAGGUAUUGAAGUCUUAUCUUACAUCGGUUAUGAAUCCCAUCGCCAAAACAGGAGUUGUUGAUUGCUGACUUCAUCAAUUGUUUAUUCAUGCUCUUGGUCAUUUGAUUCUCAGGGAGACAUAAACGUUCCACAUACUCUGGUGAAUGUGAUGAGGCAGGUUGAUGUGGUAAUCUCUACUGUUGAGACAUCACCGGAUGACCAAUACAAGAUUGCUGCUGCCAUUUUGACGGCCGGAAAUAUAAAGGUGGUGCUGUGACUAAUCAUUUUGUCCUCGUUAUCAUUGUUCGUUUAGCAUUCGACUGAUGAUAUAAGUUGUGUUAGCUUACUUCUUUUCUUCUGGUAUUAGUGCAUAGCGUUCUCCUUGUGAGCUUCAUUUGAUCAAAUGGGAUGCAUUGACUCAUUUAUCUGUAGACUUCACAUCUUUUUUCAUCUUAAUUGGUCAUGACUCUGUGUAGAAGUCCCUGUGGGUUUGGGUUUCCUCUAGGUCAGCCAAAAAAACAAAAAUAAAUAACAUAAAAGGUCUCAGUCACUCAAUAUGGACUAUGGACUUGUAUCCCAGCGCUUCGAUCAUGAAUUCGCGAGGAACAUGAACUAGUUUAACCUUGAAAUGGUCCUUUUCAGGGUAUAAUUGUUGCAUGUAUGUUAUCCAACCCCACUUACUGGGAUAGUACUUAGUAGUAAUCGUUGUUGCUGCGGGUGGUUGACAGCCAACAAUGAGUGGAACUCAGCAUGCUCCGAAAAGGCAAUGGACUUGCCUGAUAUUUUAUCACUGUGAAAGUGUCCAUUCAAGCAAGCAGCAUGUUUGCAUAUUUUAUACUUGACAGAGUUAUCUGGCUGCUGCCUAACAUUAAAAUAUUCACUUUCCAUUUCUUCUACUUUUCUAAUAACACUUAUGGUAGAAUUUGCUUAUUUGCUGAAUUUAUUGCUUCACUUAUGAUCAGUUUUUACUCUGUUAUAGUAACAUACUGACCAAAAAAAAAAAUGUUAAAUUCAGUCACGUACAAGUUUGUUCUGUUUUAUUUUGCCAGAACUCAUAUAAUUUUAUUGGAUAAGGGGAAUGUGCUCCAAAUUUUCGUUCCUUUCCAAUGGAAAUGUUUCUUCUGAUUGGAUUAUUUUUCUUUCUAGAGAUUCUUGCCUUCAGUGUUUGGAAGUGAUGUGGAUCGUGCCCAUGCUGUGGAGCCAGCAAGAACUUUUUAUGCUGCUUACUAUACCGACAUCCACCGCCUUCUCGAGGAAGAGGGAAUCCCGUAUACCUAUGUGUGUUGUAACUUUCUUGUAGGUUGGCACCGUUCAACAUUGGUGCAGCCCAGGGCUAGAGCUGCCUCUAGAGAGAGAAUUGUCAUCUUAGGGGAUGGUAAUGCGAAAGGUAAGAAGCAUGAAAUACCUAUUAUGAUUCGUCAGGAUUUUUCUGUACAACUUUUGCGAUUUAAUUACGAGGGUAAUCAGAGUGAGGACAAUUCCUGAAGCUUGAGAAUGCCAGGCAACUCCUCUAGCUGGAGAUGUCGGGCCUUUUACAUCCGUUAUUCUCGACUUCCGGAGACCAAUAAAUGAUAUGAAAGUGAUGUUGGUUAUCUUGGCACAAUACCGCCUGGUCAGCAUAUUAAGAAGGUUUUCUUAUGUAUCUAGUUGAGAAAAGAACUUAUGAAUGCAUUCGUCCAUGAUGAAUCUUUUUAUUGAGAGAGUUCUUUAAAUAAGAACCAAAAGAUCAAAGUUUUUGUGAUAUAUUUAUUAGCCAAAUUCUAAAAUUCUCCUGUCAAUGUACAGUGGUGUUUAACAGGGAGGAUGAUAUCGGCACCUAUACCAUCAAAGCCAUGGAUGAUCCUAGGACCUUGAACAAAAUUCUGUACAUCAG